GGCAAGAUGGCUCAGCAGGUAAGAGUGCUGACUGCCCUUCCAAAGGUCCUGAGUUCAAAUCCCAGCAAUGACA
rnacentral:tRNA from 1 species